UACGGAGGAUGCGAGCGUUAUCCGGAUUUAUUGGGUUUAAAGGGUGCGUAGGCGGUCCGGAAAGUCAGCGGUAAAAGCCCGGGGCUCAACCCCGGCGAGCCGUUGAAACUGUCGGACUAGAGACGGCGAGAAGUACGCGGAAUGCGCGGUGUAGCGGUGAAAUGCAUAGAUAUCACGCAGAACUCCGAUUGCGAAGGCAGCUCACUGGACUGCAACUGACACUGAGGCUCGAAAGUGUGGGUAUCAAACAGG
rnacentral:rRNA from 1 species